UGGGGAAUUUUGGACAAUGGGGGAAACCCUGAUCCAGCCAUCCCGCGUGUGCGAUGAAGGCCUUCGGGUUGUAAAGCACUUUUGGCAGGAAAGAAACGUCGCGGGUUAAUACCCCGCGAAACUGACGGUACCUGCAGAAUAAGCACCGGCUAACUACGUGCCAGCAGCCGCGGUAAUACGUAGGGUGCAAGCGUUAAUCGGAAUUACUGGGCGUAAAGCGUGCGCAGGCGGUUCGGAAAGAAAGAUGUGAAAUCCCAGAGCUUAACUUUGGAACUGCAUUUUUUAACUACCGGGCUAGAGUGUGUCAGAGGGAGGUGGAAUUCCGCGUGUAGCAUGAAAUGCGUAGAUAUGCGGAGGAACACCGAUGGCGAAGGCAGCCUCCUGGGAUAACACUGAGCUCAUGCACGAAAGCGUGGGGAGCAAACAGGAUUAGAUACCCUGGUAGUCACGCCCUAAACGAUGUCAACUAGCUGUU
rnacentral:rRNA from 1 species